UACGUAGGGGGCAAGCGUUGUCCGGAAUCAUUGGGCGUAAAGAGCGUGUAGGCGGCUCGGUAAGUCCGCUGUGAAAGUCCAGGGCUCAACCCUGGAAGGCCGGUGGAAACUGUCGGGCUAGAGUCCGGAAGAGGCGAGUGGAAUUCCCGGUGUAGCGGUGAAAUGCGCAGAUAUCGGGAGGAACACCAAUGGCGAAGGCAGCUCACUGGGACGGUACUGACGCUGAGACGCGAAAGCGUGGGGAGCAAACAGG
rnacentral:rRNA from 1 species